CUCUUGUUAGUAACAGGUUUGUAGCGGGUUGUUUCAACAAGUCGCUACGGCUCUGUUGUCAACAGCUUGCGACAGGCCUGUUACCGCAAGCCUGUUACCGCCUGACGAAACCAACAGACCUGUCGCGACUUGUUGACAACUUGCCGCAAGCCGGUAAAAUCAACAGCUUGCGACAGGCCUGUGAGAUUUCUGGCUGUGUACAAUAGAAAACUAAUAAAAAUUGUUGUAUCUAUUACUAGCUCCCCCAGUGAUCAGCGCAUUCGUCCCACAAACAAAAUCAAUAGUACUUGGUCAGGAAUUCUUCCUAAAGUGCGUGGCAAAUGGUAAUCCUAAGCCUCAUGUUUGGUGGGAGAAAAAAGAUAAAAAAACUUCAAUGUUCAAACGUGUGAAGAACAAGCGCAGUGACAAGCUACAUUUUGACGCACUCGAUGACAGCAAUCUUGGUGAUUAUCGAUGUUUUGCACAAAAUAAAGAGAACACCUCCUCAUCGGACUUUAAAUUAGGUUUGUUUAUAUUGUAAUAUAUUGAAAGCUCCUCUGCUCGUCGUAUGAUGAUUUACAGAAUUACUUGACAAUGACGGGGAACCAGCCACAGGUGCACCCCUGCAGAUUUUCAAACAUCUCCCAAUGAUUUGAAAUUAAUACCAGUUAGAUUCAUUUCACAAAAAUAAAUUAUAAAGAAGACACAGGACUCUUUGUGUACUUCAUUUCCUACCCUUGUCACCAAAUCGAGCAUUCCACUUUACAGAAAUGAAGGUUCUACCUUCUUAUGCCCUUACUCAGCAAGAUUUAAAACAAGCCUGGACUACCUUGUGAUUUUGCCGGACAUUGCGCUGCCAAUCGUCUUG
rnacentral:lncRNA from 1 species